GACGUAGGGCGCGAGCGUUGUCCGGAUUUAUUGGGCGUAAAGAGCUCGUAGGCGGCUUGUCGCGUCGACUGUGAAAUCCCGCGGCUCAACUGCGGGUCUGCAGUCGAUACGGGCAGGCUAGAGUUCGGUAGGGGAGACUGGAAUUCCUGGUGUAGCGGUGAAAUGCGCAGAUAUCAGGAGGAACACCGGUGGCGAAGGCGGCUCACUGGCCCGGUACUGACGCUGAGGUGCGAAAGCGUGGGGAGCAAACAGG
rnacentral:rRNA from 1 species